AGAACGAACGCUGGCGGCGCGCUUAACACAUGCAAGUCGGACGCUCCCUUCGGGGGGAGUGGCGGACGGGUGAGUAACGUGUGGGAACCUGCCCUGGAGUUCGGGACAACCGCGGGAAACUGCGGCUAACACCGGAUACGCCCUUAGGGGGAAAGUUUACGCUCUGGGAUGGGCCCGCGUCGGAUUAGCUUGUUGGUGGGGUAACGGCCUACCAAGGCAUCGAUCCGUAGCUGGUCUGAGAGGAUGGCCAGCCACACUGGGACUGAGACACGGCCCAGACUCCUACGGGAGGCAGCAGUGGGGAAUCUUGGACAAUGGGCGCAAGCCUGAUCCAGCGACGCCGCGUGGGUGACGAAGGCCUUCGGGUUGUAAAGCCCUUUUCUCGGGGGCGAUGAUGACGGUACCCGAGGAAUAAGCACCGGCUAACUCCGUGCCAGCAGCCGC
rnacentral:rRNA from 1 species